UACGUAGGGUGCAAGCGUUGUCCGGAAUUAUUGGGCGUAAAGAGCUCGUAGGCGGUUUGUCGCGUCGAAUGUGAAAAACCCGGGGCUCAACCCCGGGCCUGCAUUCGAUACGGGCAGACUAGAGUUCGGUAGGGGAGUCUGGAAUUCCUGGUGUAGCGGUGAAAUGCGCAGAUAUCAGGAGGAACACCGGUGGCGAAGGCGGGACUCUGGGCCGAUACUGACGCUGAGGAGCGAAAGCGUGGGGAGCAAACAGG
rnacentral:rRNA from 1 species